AUCCAGCUGACGAGUUCGAGAUAUGAUGAAAUGCGCAUCCUGGAU
rnacentral:hammerhead_ribozyme from 1 species